rnacentral:rRNA from 1 species
UACGUAGGAUGCAAGCGUUGUCCGGAUUUACUGGGCGUAAAGAGCUCGUAGGCGGCUUGUCGCGUCGUUCGUGAAAACCUGCAGCUCAACUGCAGGCUUGCGGUCGAUACGGGCAGGCUGGAGUUCGGUAGGGGAGACGUGGAAUUCCUGGUGUAGCGGUGAAAUGCGUAGAUAUCAGGAGGAACACCGGUGGUGCAGACGGCUCUCUGGACCGUAACUGACGCUGAGACACGAAAGCGUGGGUAGCAAACAGG